rnacentral:lncRNA from 10 species
GCGUCACAACUUAAUUCUUGAAAAGGCCGUAUAAAAUGCUGCUUCCUCAGGAUGCCUGCUCUUUAUCAGCAUCCCUGUCUCCAUGGUGAUAGGUAAGUGCUCAUCCCUCCAUCUCCCUCCCCAGCCUCUACCACCCGCAGCAAACCUUAACAGGAUGAAGAGCCCUCUGGGGGCCAUGCACUGCAGCUUCAAGACAUAAACAACUCCAUGGGUGGUUGCCGUGGCCGUUCUUCAUCCCCAUUCUGUUUACCCCAAGGUACAAUGGCAACGCACUUAAGUGCAUCGAAACAAGAACUGAUACAUUUCAAUAAAUCACUCCAGCCAGGUGGUCACCAAGCUAGUGUUCUGAGAAGCUGGGGUUACAAGGCAACCUUGCCCAUCAUUCAUCAUUAGAAACAAUGCCAAUCUUGGAGUCCAUCUUGGACAUGGAGUGCUUCUCCAGUUUUAUACAGGGAAUGAAAAGAAUGAAAAGAAUGCCAGGAAAAUUCAGAUUUGGAUUCAGGCAAACCUAGGGCUGAUGUCUGCUUCCUUUACUUAGUAGUUGUGGGGACCUGGUCAAAUCAGUUUGCCUAUCUGAACAAAGGUUUGCUCAUGUGUAAAACACAAGUAAUACUACAUACUUCAAAAUUGUUUUCAAUAUGAAAGGAAGUUUAUAUAUGGAUAGUGAC